UGUGUGUGUGUGUGUGUGUGUGUGUGUGUGAGGCCUAGAUCCUGCGCAGAGGGUGCCACAUGGACACCGGCUUCCUCAGCGUGGCGAGCAUCUGUUUCCAAUGGGUGAUGCCCAUCCCGCUGGCCUCGGGGCCGAUGAUCACGUGACCCAGGUUCUCGCCCCGGCCGUCGUCUGUGGCCUCGGCCACCGUCACCCUGAGGGAGAGCUCCUGCAAACAGAACAACACGGUUACACAAGCUGCUAUGCACCUCAGCCUAGGAUACUGUUCCUGAUUUAAAUAACGUAGAGCCAGGCGUUGAACGGUCUGAUGGUCAGGUCCAGGUCGGACAGUUUGAGAUCUGCCACCCCCGCACUGAUGUUUCUCUCCUCAGCAUCGAUACCGAAGGCGGCACAACGCAGACUGUACUCCUCCAGCAGGGACGAGUCCAUGGGGAUGGAGAAGUGCUCGUCAAAAAGCACUGUGUAUGCAUUCGCCUGGAUCUGUGAGAGGCAAAAAAUGAUUCAAAUGUUAGAAUGUAUAUAUUUAUUACUUGUUAGAUUCACCUCCCAGAUAUUUGACUAUUAAAGGGGGGUCAUCUGAGUUUCAGUAAGUUGAUUGCUACUUAAUUAGUAUCACAAAUCAACACAGAUGUAAUUAAAACUCUUGCACAUAAAUCACUGUUUAAGAUGAAUGACAAGAAUCAGGCAAUAAUUUAACUUAACAAAAGAAGAUGUUGUGUAGGCAUUAAAAUCUGUUAUUCUCUCAUCCUC